UACGGGGGGAGCAAGCGUUGUUCGGAUUUACUGGGCGUAAAGGGCGCGUAGGCGGGAUGGCAAGUCGGUCGUGAAAUCCCUCGGCUCAACUGAGGAUCGUCGAUCGAUACUGCCGUUCUUGAGGAUUGCAGAGGAGACUGGAAUUCCCGGUGUAGCGGUGAAAUGUGUAGAGAUCGGGAGGAACACCGGUGGCGAAGGCGGGUCUCUGGGCAAUUCCUGACGCUGAGGCGCGAAAGCGUGGGGAGCAAACGGG
rnacentral:rRNA from 1 species